CAGUCACUUCAUUAGGUACGCCUUGCUACUACAGGGUUGGACCUAGUUUUACCUUCAGAGCUGCUCAUUCUUUGUGCCACAAAUUCAUCAAAGUGUUGGAAACACCUCAGAGCUGUUUUGCUCCAUAUAGGCAUGAUAGCAUCUCACUGUUACCGCUGAUUUGUCUGCUGCACAUCCAUGAUGAGAAUCGCCAAAGGUGCUCUAUUGGCUGUAGAUCUGGUGACUGUGAAGACCAAUUGAGGACGACCUCUGUAGACCCUAGAGAUCCCAGAAGAUAAGCAGUUUGUGAAACACUCACACCGAUCCAUCUGGCACCAACAACCAUGCCACACUCAAAGACACUUAAAUCCUAUGUUUAUUUUGUUUGAACUUCAGCAGAUCUACAUGCUUAACUUCACUGCAUUCCUGCCAUGUGCUGAUUGGAUAUUUGCAUUAAAGAGGAGUUGAAUAGGUGUAUCCAACAAAGAGGUUGGUGAAUGUCUGUCACUGUGUGCUCAAAAUUAUGGCUCAGUUGUGUUAGUUGGUGGUCUGAAUAAAUUUGAGCCUAUAUUUUUGAGUAACCUGUUCUUAAACAGGCUCCACUAACAGGCUGUUUUUAAACAAAAUGCAGAUUAAAGGUUAUGAGUUAAACAGUGCAGAAAUAUUGUCAAAAUCUUAGAUUAAAGAAGCGGUUUAAUUGGUGUUAGGUGCUAUUUGAUGCCCAACCUGCAUUUUCAAAAUGUCAGAAAGUAACCUACAUGUAAGGUGCUCUUUACAGAAUCCAUAGCAAUAAAGACUAGUCUCAUUAGUCUCAUUACCCAGUGAUGGGCGGCAGGCUUAGCCUCAGAUCCUGCAGCUCACUAUAUCCCAAACAA